rnacentral:rRNA from 1 species
GACGAACGCUGGCGGCGUGCUUAACACAUGCAAGUCGAACGGAAAGGCCCUGCUUUUGUGGGGUGCUCGAGUGGCGAACGGGUGAGUAACACGUGAGUAACCUGCCCUUGACUUUGGGAUAACUUCAGGAAACUGGGGCUAAUACCGGAUAGGAGCUCCUGCUGCAUGGUGGGGGUUGGAAAGUUUCGGCGGUUGGGGAUGGACUCGCGGCUUAUCAGCUUGUUGGUGGGGUAGUGGCUUACCAAGGCUUUGACGGGUAGCCGGCCUGAGCGGGUGACCGGCCACAUUGGGACUGAGAUACGGCCCAGACUCCUACGGGAGGCAGCAGUGGGGUAUAUUGCACUAUGGGCGGAAGCCUGAUGCAGCAACGCCGCGUGCGGGAUGACGGCCUUCGGGUUGUAAUCCGCUUUCGCCUGUGACGAAGCGUGAGUGACGGUAAUGGGUAAAGAAGCACCGGCUAACUACGUG